GACGAACGCUGGCGGCGUGCUUAACACAUGCAAGUCGAGCGGUAAGGCCCUUUCGGGGGUACACGGAGCGGCGAACGGGUGAGUAACACGUGGGUGACCUGCCCUUAGCUCUGGGAUAAGCCUGGGAAACUGGGUCGUAAUACCGGAUAUGACUCCAUGACGCAUGUUGUGGGGUGGAAAGCCUUGUGCGGCUAGGGAUGGGCCCGCGGCCUA
rnacentral:rRNA from 1 species